rnacentral:rRNA from 1 species
AGGCAGAGCAAAUCGCUAAAAGACCGUCUCAGUUCGGAUUGCAGGCUGAAACCCGCCCUGCAUGAAGUUGGAAUUGCUAGUAAUCGCGGAUCAGCAUGCCGCGGUGAAUACGUUCCCGGGCCUUGUACACACCGCCCGUCACACCAUGAGAGUCGGGAACACCCGAAGUCCGUAGUCUAACCCGCAAGGGAGGGCGCGGCCGAAGGUGGGUUCGAUAAUUGGGGUGAAGUCGUAACAAGGUAAC